CCCUUAGAUGUUCUGGGCCGCACGCGCGCUACACUGAUGCAUUCAACGAGUCUAAAACCUGCUCUGAUAGGGGUGGGUAAUCUUUUGAAUGUGCAUCGUGAUUGGGAUAGAUGAUUGCAAUUUUUCAUCUUCAACGAGGAAUGCCUAGUAAACGCAAGUCAUCAGCUUGCAUUGAUUACGUCCCUGCCCUUUGUACACACCGCCCGUCGCUCCUACCGAUUGAAUGAUCCGAUGAAUAUCAUGGAUUGAGGAUUAUAGCAGGUUCGCCCGUCUUGAUCUUCGAGAAGUGAAGUAAAUCUUAUCAUUUAGAGGAAGGAGAAGUCGUAACA
rnacentral:rRNA from 1 species